ensembl:lncRNA novel transcript
CAGUCCCCGCGGAAUUUACGCACUUUCGUCUUGUGCUCUUAGAUGUUCUCCAGGUAGACUGCAACCAACACCUUUAGAAUAAACCCACCUGUGCUUGGGCCAGCCUGAGAGGUCUUCAUUCCUUGCUGUCCAGAAAACCUUCAAAGGCUGCAGCAUAACCAGCUUCUAACAUUGUCCACUGGAGCAGAGACUUUGGGAGCCGAGGUGAAGAUGGCGCAACUACCAGAGGGAGAGCUGGAUUCUAGAGUCCCCACUUGCUUGCCUGGAAGGAGAUCUGCUCAGAACUGCCAGGAUGUCAGAACACGGCUCUGUACGAGCUCCUGAGAUCCAGGGCUGUAGUUGUGAGAAUUUGUCCUAAUGCCUCUGGUCUUUGCCUGUGCUUCAGCUUAUUUGGGGGAACAAAACCAAUCUGAUUGCUCUCAACAUCCAGUUGUCACUGAUUGGGUUCAAGGAAAUUAUUUUAUCUUCAGAAAACAUUUUGUUAUUUGAAGCAGCUAUAUAAGUGAGAUAAAUAUAUUUGAUACAUA